AAGUCGAGGGGCAGCACGUCUUCGGAUGGUGGCGACCGGCGCACGGGUGCGUAACGCGUAUAGAACUUACCUUUUACAGAGGGAUAGCCUUUAGAAAUGAAGAUUAAUACCUCAUAGUAUUGAAUUUUGGCAUCAAGAUUUAAUUAAAGAUUUAUCGGUAAAAGAUGGCUAUGCGUCCUAUUAGCUAGAUGGUGAGGUAACGGCUCACCAUGGCGACGAUAGGUAGGGGUCCUGAGAGGGAGAUCCCCCACACUGGUACUGAGACACGGACCAGACUCC
rnacentral:rRNA from 1 species